rnacentral:rRNA from 1 species
AGAGUUUGAUUCUGGCUCAGAAUGAACGCUGGCGGCGUGCUUAACACAUGCAAGUCGAGCGAGGCCAGGGGGGCAACUCCCUGAGUCGAGCGGCGGACGGGUGAGUAACACGUGGGUAACCUACCCGGAAGUGGGGAAUACCUCGGGGAAACUCGAGCUAAUACCGCAUGACAUCUUUGGGACGAAAGUCCCGACGAUCAAAGCGGGGUCGCAAGAUCUCGCGCUACCGGAUGGGCCCGCGCCCGAUUAGCUAGUUGGUGAGGUAAUGGCUCACCAAGGCUUCGAUCGGUAACCGGCCUGAGAGGGCGAUCGGUCACACCGGAACUGAGACACGGUCCGGACUCCUACGGGAGGCAGCAGUGGGGAAUCUUGCGCAAUGGGCGAAAGCCUGACGCAGCAACGCCGCGUGGAGGAUGAAGGCCCUUGGGUUGUAAACUCCUGUCGGCUGGGAAGAAAUCGUUUGUGGCUAAUACCCGCAGACGUUGACUGUACCAGCAAAGGAAGCCCCGGCUAACUCUGUGCCAGCAGCCGCGGUAAUACAGAGGGGGCCAGCGUUAUUCGGAAUUAUUGGGCGUAAAGGGCGCGUAGGCGGCCAUGCGUGUCUUCCGUGAAAUCCCUCGGCUCAACCGAGGACGUGCGGAAGAAACUGCAAGGCUCGAGUCCGGAAGAGGGGGGCGGAAUUCCCAGUGUAGCGGUGAAAUGCGCAGAUAUUGGGAGGAACACCAGUGGCGAAAGCGGUCCCCUGGGCCGGAACUGACGCUGAGGCGCGAAAGCGUGGGUAGCAAACGGGAUUAGAUACCCCGGUAGUCCACGCCGUAACGAUGGGCACUUGGUGUCGCGGGUAUCGACCCCUGCGGUGCCGAAGCUAACGCAUUAAGUGCCCGCCUGGGGAGUACGGUCGCAGCUGAACUCAAUGAAUGACGGGG